AGUCGAGGGGUAACAUUGUGCUUGCACAGAUGACGACCGGCGCACGGGUGCGUAACGCGUAUAGAACCUACCUUUUACAGAGGAAUAGCCUUUAGAAAUGAAGAUUAAUGCCUCAUGGUAUUGUAGACUGGCAUCAGUUUAUAAUUAAAGAUUUAUCGGUAAAAGAUGGCUAUGCGUCCUAUUAGUUAGUUGGUAAGGUAACGGCUUACCAAGACAGCGAUAGGUAGGGGUCCUGAGAGGGAGAUCCCCCACACUGGUACUGAGACACGGACCAGACUCCUACGGGAGGCAGCAGUGAGGAAUAUUGGACAAUGGAGGAGACUCUGAUCCAGCCAUGCCGCGUGUAGGAAGAAUGCCCUAUGGGUUGUAAACUACUUUUAUACAGGAAGAAACACUGGUAUGUAUACCAGCUUGACGGUACUGUAA
rnacentral:rRNA from 1 species